UCUGUUCUGAAUUCAGUUUCUCCACCCUUGUAUCCACCUCCUCAAGUCUGUUGUAAUACAAUUCUGGGUCUUCUGGGUUGUUUGCAUACAAGCUCUCCAGAGAGGCAAUGAAUGGCUGAUUUGGCACAAGCAUUAAAGAGCAGGAAGCCAAAAAAUAGAAUCAAGUAAAAAUGAUUUUAUAGUUGUUAUUCUUCCUGAGAAUAUCUGUGCUCCCAGAAGCACAUGUCAUAGUCAAGAAAAUGCCAUUGGAAAUUCAGGUCCCUGCACGGAGGAGCUGUUGGUCAUUCGGAAAGAUGUACGAUUGAGUGAGACAGACAUCUCUAGGGAUGCUCUAAGGCCUAUUCAGGAUUCAAGGCUGUGCACCUCCUGUUUGCUCGUAAGACAGACUUUAUCUGCACAACGUUCUAAGUCUUUUGAGUCUUACCGAAUGGGCCUCCUGAGUAAAUUGCCUUACUCUCCUGAACAGAGCAUCGGGUGCACGUGAUCUCUUAUGCGGAUAAAAACCUUUGCGGGAGAAGUUCUACAACAACCGUAUACAAAGAGCAUAUUACAGUAAACUCCAGCAUGAUUUACUUAACACGUAUUUAUAUAGCACUUACUAUGUGCCAUAGACUCUUUUAAACACCAUGUAAAUAUUAGCUGACUUAAUCCUCAUUAUAACGUGAGAAUACUGGUGGAAUUUCAAUUAAGUGAUGUGAGAAAAAUCCUAUAGCCCAGUGCUUGAGAUUAUGAAUCCUUCAAUAAAUAUUUGUUGGAAG
rnacentral:lncRNA from 1 species